CUCAGACAGCGGGUAACGAGAGCUCGCUUUGGAUCUCUUUUCUAUCGCUUGGCACUGUUUGGCAGAGGAGGUGUACACAGGUCUCCUGUGCUGUAGAGGACCGACGGGUGCUGUGGUGUAGACAGACCUCGUGUGGUAGAGGAUGGGCACCGGUGCUCCCCAGGUGGCCACUUUUAUCUGCCAUCCCGUGAAAUGGUGUGAGGAUCACGCGUUUAUCUCAACGAUCCAGGCAAACACUGCUGUGGAGUGGAGACUUACGACCCUCUGGAUGAAAUUUGCUGCAACGGACUCAAGCUCUUGUCGUGGGAGAUGGUCCGACUCCUUGGACACCUUCUCAGUUAAUCACACUGUUCUCAAAUGGACCACACAGCCUCUUCCUGUAUGAUUUCCCUCUCGGACAGGUUUUGGGAUGACGGCCCCAUCCACAACAGAGGGCAAAGUCCUCCUGGUAAUCUACGGCCUGCUGGGCUGCUCUGCCACCAUCCUCUUCUUCAACAUCACCAUGUUGGACUUCCUCAUACGAUGGAGCCACCGGAAGAGAACACACAACAUCCGGCUAGGGGGCAACAACAACCAACAUGAGGGUGGAGGAGAGGAAAGAGGGGUGGAGGCCCUCUGUGUAUUCGGUCACUCUCAAACUGCCUCCUCAUGCUCCUGGGGGUAUGCUGUACCUACUCCCUCUUCAAUGCCCUGUCUAUCAUCAUCAAAUGGGCUGAACUGGAUCCUGAGUCAGCUGAUCCAUCUGUGUAGCUGCCUGUGCCACAGCAGACCUCUACGAUGUGUGUCUGGCUGUAGAACUCUCUCCCCGCUCUGACCUUUUUGAACUGCUCCUGUAUCUCUGUGCUGCUGCCUUCACCUCUGGUCUUCUCCCCAUCAUUGGACUACCAUCUGUGGACACCUUCCUUGCUACAACCUCUGAACACCUUUAGUGUUUGUGCAUCACUGCCCAAAGUUGACUUUGUGGAGCCAGAGUGUCUUUACAGUUAUCUUAUGUGUAUAUUAUGUGUUACUAUGUCAUAUGUCCAUUACUACUUAGUUACAAACUAUUUAUAGUUGUUGUUGGGUGCAACUAUGUUAGUAUUUCACGUGUAUAUAAUAUGUCCUGUUACAUAGUCAUUUAAUAGCUUUAUGGUCGAGCUAUGAAUACUUUUACUGUUGGGACAAUAGUUACUCUACUUGCCAUUAAAACCUAUAGGCCUAAGAUGGCCACCUGCCGUGAGGUAAUUAGCAUCCAAUAAUGCUGCCACUUCAAGUUCCUAUUGUCAUGUGACCUUUCAUAGAUGGCAGCCCCCAUAGCCUUGUUUAUAUUACCAUGCUAGCUUAAUUAACCGGAAUGCUAACAUUUAUACGAACUUGUUCCUACUAUGUAUGGGGUUUAUACUGUUAUGUUAUAUUAGCUUAUACUGUUUAUUAUGUUAGGUUAUAUGAUUUUCCUACUAGCUAAUUAUUAGCUAUUCGCUUAUCCUUUCCUUACUAGCCUGUAGUAUGUUAGUCUAGCUGCUAAUGUAUGCCUGUAACCGUUAUGCCUUAUAGUGUGUACUGUAUUCUCUAUUAGCCUGUUGCUAAUACUUAGCUGCAAUUGUGUUUAGCGUCCCUAGCCAUUGCCUAUUGCCUAUAUAAAGUGCAUUACUCCCAUUGCUGCUAUGCUAUUAGCCUUGCUGCUACUAUUCCUACUGUUGCUUAGCAUAUUAGCGUUAUAUUGUUAUAGCACAUUUAUAGCCAUGUCAUUACACUGCUAAUCCUAUUAGCUAUCAUCGUAGCAUUGUCAUUGCUAUGUUAUCAUGCCAUUACUGUUGCUACAUCGUUAUAGCUAUAUCACUGUGUAAUACAUCUUUCUAUUUGUCUUCUUACAGAAUACCACACACAUCACACUUCACACAUCUAUGACAUUUAUCACUAUCACUCCUAUUCUCCUUUAAUGCUGGUGUGUGUUGCGGCUAGCAAUAAACAUCUGUUCUUUA